UGGGGAAUAUUGGACAAUGGAGGCAACUCUGAUCCAGCAAUACCUCGUGUGUGAAGAAGGCCCUAGGGUUGUAAAGCACUUUCAAUUGGGACGAAGAUUGUGUACUUAAUACGUGCAUAAUUUGACGGUACCUUUAGAAGAAGCACCGGCUAACUCCGUGCCAGCAGCCGCGGUAAUACGGAGGGUGCAAGCGUUAAUCGGAAUUACUGGGCGUAAAGCGCGCGUAGGUGGCUUAUUAAGUCAGAUGUGAAAGCCCCGGGCUUAACCUGGGAACUGCAUUUGAUACUGGUUCGCUAGAGUAUGGUAGAGGGAAGUGGAAUUCCACAUGUAGCGGUGAAAUGCGUAGAGAU
rnacentral:rRNA from 1 species